CAUGUAGGCGGACUAUUAAGUCUGGUGUGAAAGCCCGGGGCUCAACCCCGGAAGUGCAUUGGAUACUGGUAGUCUUGAGUAUGGGAGAGGAAAGUGGAAUUCCGAGUGUAGGAGUGAAAUCCGUAGAUAUUCGGAGGAACACCAGUGGCGAAGGCGGCUUUCUGGACCAAUACUGACGCUGAGAUGCGAAAGCGUGGGGAGCGAACAGGAUUAGAUACCCUGGUAGUC
rnacentral:rRNA from 1 species